AGGGUUUGAUUAUGGCUCAGAACGUACGCUGGCGGCACGCCUAACACAUGCAAGUCGAACGAAGUAGCAAUACUUAGUGGCAGACGGGUGAGUAACAUGUAGGUAUCUACCCUUUGGCCUGGAAUAACACGAGGAAACUUGUGCUAAUACCGGAUAAGUCUUUACGGAGAAAGCUUUAUGCACCAUUGGAUGAGCCUGCACUUGAUUAGUUUGUUGGUGGGUAAUGGCCUACCAAGACUGUGAUCAAUAGCUGAUUUGAGAGGAUGAUCAGCCACAUUGGGACUGAGACACGGCCCAAACUCCUACGGGAGGCAGCAGUGGGGAAUCUUGCACAAUGGAGGAAACUCUGAUGCAGCGAUGCCGCGUGAGUGAAGAAGGCCUUUGGGUUGUAAAGCUCUUUCGUCGGGGAAGAAAAUGACUGUACCCGAAUAAGAAGGUCCGGCUAACUUCGUGCCAGCAGCCGCGGUAAUACGAAGGGACCUAGCGUAGUUCGGAAUUACUGGGCUUAAAGAGUUCGUAGGUGGUUGAAAAAGUUAGUGGUGAAAUCCCAGAGCUUAACUCUGGAACUGCCAUUAAAACUUUUCAGCUAGAGUAUGAUAGAGGAAAGCAGAAUUUCUAGUGUAGAGGUGAAAUUCGUAGAUAUUAGAAAGAAUACCAAUUGCGAAGGCAGCUUUCUGGAUCAUUACUGACACUGAGGAACGAAAGCAUGGGUAGCGAAGAGGAUUAGAUACCCUCGUAGUCCAUGCCGUAAACGAUGUGUGUUAGACGUUGGAAAUUUAUUUUCAGUGUCGCAGCGAAAGCGAUAAACACACCGCCUGGGGAGUACGACCGCAAGGUUAAAACUCAAAUGAAUUGACGGGGACCCGCACAAGUAGUGAGCAUGUGGUUUAAUUCGAAGAUACGCGCAGAACCUUACCAACACUUGACAUGUUCGUCGCGACUCUAAGAGAUUAGAGUUUUCGGUUCGGCCGGACGAAACACAGGUGCUGCAUGGCUGUCGUCAGCUCGCGUCGUGAGAUGUUGGGUUAAGUCCCGCAACGAGCGCAACCCUCACUUUUAGUUGCCAUCAUUUAGUUGGGCACCCUGAAAGAACUGCCAGUGAUAAGCUGGAGGAAGGUGGGGAUGACGUCAAGUCCUCAUGGCCCUUACGUGUUGGGCUACACACGUGCUACAAUGGUAUCUACAACAGGAAGCAAGACUGCGAGGUCAAGCAAAUCCUUAAAAGAUACCUCAGUUCGGAUUGCACUCUGCAACUCGAGUGCAUGAAGCUGGAAUUACUAGUAAUCGUGGAUCAGCGUGCCACGGUGAAUGCGUUCCCGGGUCUUGUACACACCGCCCGUCACACCAUGGGAGUUGGUUCUACCUUAAGGCAAGGCUUAAAACCCUUGACCACGGUAUAGUCAGCGACUGGGGUGAAGUCGUAACAAGGUAACCAAGGG
rnacentral:rRNA from 1 species